rnacentral:rRNA from 1 species
AUUGAACGCUGGCGGCAUGCUUUACACAUGCAAGUCGAACGGCAGCGGGGUAGUGCUUGCACUACUGCCGGCGAGUGGCGCACGGGUGAGUAAUAUAUCGGAACGUACCGAGUAAUGGGGGAUAACCAAUCGAAAGAUUGGCUAAUACCGCAUACGUCCUGAGGGAGAAAGCGGGGGAUCGCAAGACCUCGCGUUAUUCGAGCGGCCGAUAACUGAUUAGCUAGUUGGUGGGGUAAAGGCCUACCAAGGCGACGAUCAGUAGCGGGUCUGAGAGGACGAUCAGACACACUGGGACUGAGACAAGGCCCAGACUCCUAAGGGAGGCAGCAGUGGGGAAUUUUGGACAAUGGGGGCAACCCUGAUCCAGCCAUGCCGCGUGGAUGAAGAAGGCCUUCGGGUUGUAAAGGACUUUUGUUAGGGAAGAAAAGGGAAGUGCUAAUACCACUUUUUGCUGACGGUACCUAAAGAAUAAGCACCGGCUAACUACGUG